AAACGUGGUCUCAGAUGUUGGGUAUCCCCCAUGCCCCCGCCAAAAGCACUCCAGAUGACAAAAAUCCACUACAAAGCUCUUCUUUAAAAAGAAAGAUUCUGAGAAGUUCCAUCAAAAGAAGAAAAGAAGAAAUGAAGAGACAGGGCCUCUCUAUGUUGCCCAGGCUGGUAGCAAUUCUUCAUUGAGUACCAACUGUGUUCCAGGCUCUGGGGAUACAGAAAUAAGCCAGGGACCUGCACAGCAGCUGGGGGAUGGUGCCAUGAGUGAAACAAGCUGCUCAGCAGGCACUUACUAAACACCGACUACGUGCCAUGCCCAGUGUUAAGGUCUGGGGAUUGAAAGAAGAGUAGGACAGAGUCCAUCUUGGAGGCACUUUCUGUCCCAUUCCCUUCCCAGAUGCUGGAGCCACAGCUGCUUUUAGGAUUCUUGUGUCUUUCUCCGUCUCCCAAGGGGGAGGGCACUGAAGGGACAGUGUCUUGAUGUCAUAGUUAGAUCUUGGACUUUGAAGGCAAACUAGUGGGUUUGACUCUUGGCCACAUG
rnacentral:lncRNA from 1 species